rnacentral:rRNA from 1 species
GAUGAACGCUGGCGGCGUGCCUAAUACAUGCAAGUCGAGCGAACAGAUGAGGAGCUUGCUCCUCUGACGUUAGCGGCGGACGGGUGAGUAACACGUGGAUAACCUACCUAUCAGACUGGGAUAACUUCGGGAAACCGGAGCUAAUACCGGAUAAUAUAUUGAACCGCAUGGUUCAAUAGUGAAAGACGGUUUUGCUGUCACUUAUAGCUGGAUCCGCGCCGCAUUAGCUAGUUGGUAAGGUAACGGCUUACCAAGGGAACGAUGCGUAGGCGACCUGUGAGGCUGAUCGCCCACACUGGAACUGAGACACGGUCCAGACUCCUACGGGAGGCAGCAGUAGGGAAUCUUCCGCAAUGGGCGAAAGCCUGACGGAACAACGCCGCGUGAGUGAUGAAGGUCUUCGGAUCGUAAAACUCUGUUAUUAGGGAAGAACAAAUGUGUAAGGAACUAUGCACGUCUUGACGGUACCUAAUCAGAAAGCCACGGCUAACUACGUG